GUGUCCAUAAAUCUAUAGAUAACAGGUAGUUACGAUUUACGCCGAUUUACGCCUAAAUCUGAUUGUGCCCUCCGAAGGCAGGGGUCACAGGUUCGAAUCCUGUCGGGCGCG
rnacentral:tRNA from 1 species